rnacentral:lncRNA from 1 species
UACUUCUAAAAGAAGACAUAGGAGACAAAAUAUUUGCUGUUAUGCAAGCUGUUGAUUGCAUCAAAAAGUCCAUUGAAACAUUGCCUCCUUUUUCUUUUUUUCCUGUGUAAUGUUUGGUUUGUCUUAUUUGUAGAAUUAGUUAUUUUCUAUAUUUUUUUGAUUUCUAGUUCAUUCUGUUUGUUUAGUAAAUUCAUUUUCAGAGAUUCUAGGGGAACCUUACUUUCCAGCUCUAUAUUAAUCAAAAGUAAUCUUUAUUAUCAUUCAUUUAAGAUUACAAUUAAAAAUAAUUUAUAUUGAGUUACUUGUAACAUGAAAUCAAAAUAUUUUUGCUUGUACAAAGAGAAAUUGGGACUGAAAACUACUGAUCUUAUAAAAUUUUCUGUGAACAUUAACACAUAUCAAUGAUAAAUGUCAUUGUAAAGGGUUACUUUCUAUUAAAUGUGGUAAGUUUUCUCUAAUCCUAGUCAGCUAGUUAUAUUCUUUUAUUCAAAGACUUAUCAAAUGGUUGCCUCAUGCAUACCACUAUGAAAGGCUUGAUUAGUAUAAUUAGAGUAACUGUAAUAUCUUAUACAUUUAAAAAUUUAAAUUUACAUAAUGAUAUAUUAAAAUAAAAACUGAAAUAGAUUUGUUAGUUACCUAUAGAUGCAGAUGUAAAUUUAUAAAUUAUUGAAUUUCAUAUUAUGAGAAGUGCUAAUAUUUCAUUAAGUAAGUAUUAAGUCAAGAUUUUGACAAUUAAAAAUUACGCUACUUGGAAUGAGUAAGUUGCACAUUAUUCUAUUUGAGCUUAUAAGUGGGGAGAAACUGCACCUAUGAAAAGAAUAUAACUAGUGCAGCAAGGUCCAUUAUAUCUGACAAUUUUACAUGUUUCUCCAGUCAGGAUGUUUUGUUUAUAAAUAUGCAUGUAUUAACUGCAGGUACUUUACAAUUUGAAAACCUAAGGUAAAUUUGUAUAUUCAUGUUAAAUGAGUAAAUUAAUACUUUUCAAUAUUCUUCACACACAGAGCAUAUUUUUCUUAAACAUUUGUUCCAUAUAUGACCAACAUCAGAAAAACUGAUGUUGAACAAAACACAGAAAUAAUGAACAAAGUCUAUACAUCAGGGCCUGGGGAUAUAUAUUUCAAAACCUUCCUAGAUUUUCUUGUGUAUGUUACAGUUUGAAACUAAUUGUCCUAGCUUAUUCCUGUGUUUAUAUUCUAUUAACUUUGCACAUAUAUGUACUAGCAUAGAAAUAGUUGGGCUUGAUUUACCCAACUAUUCUGAUAAAAGCAAUUUUAAUUAUGAUUACAUUUAUUAAUAAGAAAUAAUUAGAACAAUUGGUAGGUAUUAGGUGUCUAACUGAACUCAAUAUUCUACAUACAUUAUCUUAAAUGUCCAAACUUUUAAAAAUUAAGGGGUUAAUAAAGCCCAGAAAUAUGUGGUGAUCCCAAGUCAAAGCCAGAUCUAUUUAUGCAGACAAUGUUUACCAAAUCCAUAAAAUAAAAUGAAAAUUUCAAAUAUCUUCUCUUCCCAUCAUACCACACUAUACUGUUCUCUCAAUUUCAGUCUUUUUCAGAGUUUUAAUAAUUCCAGAGUUUCAGUAUAACUCUUACACCUUCUUGUCUCAAAUAUAACUUAAUUUUACUACAUAAAACAUUAAUACAUCAGAUUAGAUUUUUCAAUAAGCAGACACCAAGAUAAUAUUAGAUAGACAUGCACAAUAUUUAUUGGGGGAAUGAUCUUUGAAAAAUAAAGGGGAACAAACAAUUAGGUAUGGAAGACCUUCAGACAGUGAUGUGUGAAGAAAGGAAGGAAAGAAAGGGGAAGGGAGGGAGGAAAAGUGUUAAGAGUAACCUUACUCUGGAAUCUAUCUCUAUGAAAUUUCUCUUCAGGGACAUUUGGAGCCUCAGAGCAAAGAUUCCCAUCAGGUAAUUCCAACAUUCAGCAGGAGUAACCCAGUUCUUUCAACCCUACCAAAUUCACUCAUUGGUUGGGGGCAUCUGUGAGAGACGUGGGCCUUAGCAUGAAUAUUGUAGUGAAUCUAAAGAUGCAACAGAGAGUCAGAGGUUGUAUGCCAAUUGCAGGUCUUGCAGCAGGUUCUCUUGACUAGAAGGAUGUGUGAUACACCUCCAUGACCUCCACAGGCAGUGCUUCGGAAAACUUUCCUGCACUACACAUUGGUGUACUCAAGGGUAUGGGCAAAAUACUAUUGCCUUUGCACUUCCAAAAUUACUAAAUAUCGGGGAUAAAAUAGGCAAGUAUAUACUUACGUCAUAUACAUAUUUAUUUAUAAAGAGAAAAUUUGAAAUAGAAAUAUUUUUAUUACCUAAGGCAGAUUCUAUUUUAAAACCACACGAUUUUGUAAACUAAAAUUCAAGAGAUAUUUUUAGAAUAUAGUGGAAUAUAUGACAAAUAUUGAAAAAAGGAAGGAAGGAAUCUGAAAGUAUAUCUCACAAAGGAGAUGGCUCAAUUUCUCAUUGUGUUAUGCAUUUAGAAGUAGAGGAUGGAUUUUAAAAGAUCCUUAAUUAUUAAGAUCAUUGAUAUAUUCUUCUAACAAGACUAAUGGACUGAAUAAGGUAUAUAGUCACCUCUAAGGAAGAAUCACUACUUUUUUAAAGGAAUUGAGUUUCAAAUUUUUGUAGCCAGUGCUGAAACAAUGUUCAUUUUAUGAACAAUACAGAGACAUGAAUAAAACAAUGUUAUUGGAUUUCUGAAAUUUUUCAUGAACCAGAAGUUUCCAGAGCCAUUACCCAGAGCCCCAACCACUGCCAAUUUCUUCCUUUCUUACCGAAUCUUUUUAUGUUUGACAUGUUCAGAAAAUAUGUUCUGUGACACAUGAAUAGCUCUUAACAGUAGGUAACCAAAAUGAGGUCAUGGAGUUCCCCUCGUGGCACAGUGGAAACGAAUCCGGUUAGGAGCCAUGAGGUUGCAGGUUCAAUCCCUGGCCUCACUCAGUGGGUAAGGAGCCGGUGUUGCCGUGGUGUAGGUCGCAGACACGGCUUAGAUCUGGGGUUGCUAUGGCUCUGGUAUAGGCCAGCAGCAACAGCUCCGAUUAUACCCCUGGCCUGGAAACCUCCAUGUGCUGAGGAUGCAGCCCUAAAACACACACACACACAAAACAAAACAAAAUGAGGUCGUAAGAUUUUUCUAACCCAAUAGCACUCAAUGGAAAAAACAAAAACCCAAAGAGCCAGAAUGAAACCAUUAUUCUGUAACCCCGAACAUAAUAACAAAUUAACAUUUUUGAACACCAGUAAUUUUCAGAUUCACUUAGGAUAACACAGUAUGCGCAAAUCUUAAAUAUAUGAUCAGAAAUUUAACUGUGUGUAUUGGAAAAUCUACAUAUACAUGUUGUUCUCAAAAAAAUUGAUUCACCUCUUUUGAAGUUCAUAAGACUGCAGAUAUCAUUAUAAAUGAUUAUUGCAAAACUAAUUUAUUACGCAGAUUUUUAAAAUAUCCAGUUGAGGCAGUUUUGGCAAAACCAAAUUCUAUGGAGAAUUGAAAACUGAAGUAAUUUAAAACCUAAAACUACAAGUUUAUAAAAAUGUGAAUAUUCACUUAGCAUGCUAUGGCACAUGGAAAUGAGCAGCAACUUGUAUUAUAUGCUUUAAGUCUCUCCAUAAAUAUACAUUUUAACUAAAAAAUAGUAAUAAAUCAUUUUUUGCAGAAUAGGCAGGGAUGUCAUUCUAUAUAUCUUCCUUUUUUAUUUUAGAGCUAAUAAAUAAGGAUUGUGCUCUGGACUGGAAUAUGUUUUAACAAUUGUAGCUAUAUAUGUAAUGAAACGUGUAUAGUAUAUUAACAAGAUCUGAAAAUCUUAUACAUUUAAUUUUACAUCUACCUAUACAAAAAAUUGUUACGUCUUGAGUACUUUAAAAGAUAACAAGGGAGUUCCCAUUGUGUCUCAGUUGGUUUAGGACCUGAUAAUAGUCUCUGUGAGGAUGUAGGUUCUAUCCCUGGUCUUGCUUGGUGGGUUAAGGAUCUGGCAUUGCCAUAAGCUGCGGUAUAAGUUGCAGAUCUGGCUUGGUUCUGGUGUUGCUUCAGCUGUAGUGUAGGGCUAUAGCUGCAGUUCUCAUUUGACCCCUAGCUCAGGAACUUUCAUUUUCUGCAGAUGUGGUAUAAAAAUAAAAUUAAAUUAAAUUAAAAAAUAAACCACCAAUAUAAUAUAUUGUAUUAUUAAAAAAAAAAGACAGUGAAAACAUUGUCUAUUUCUUUUGGUGCAGAAUGGCCAGCAAUUCCAAGGAGGGAGGAAAAAAGAGAUAAAAGCAAUUAAUUUGGUGUUUAUAUUUGUUUGGUAAUGUUUACCUUACUGGUAGCCCUGCAAGAGCAACUUAUCAAGUUUCUCUCUCUAGGCCUAGCAAAAGGGGAAUAUAUUAAUCAGGGUUAUCUAGAGAAACGGAACCUGUAUAAAAGAGAGAGAGAGAGACUUCUAAAGCCAGAAGAUAUGAAAGUAGAAAGAGUGGUUGAAAGUUUUUUUUUGUUUUUUUUAAACACCAGUUAGAAUUCCAAAUUUUCACAUUUUCUCCAUGGAGCCUGCUCCUUUAAUCACACU